GCUGCUGUCUUGAAGAAGUAGAAGCUAUUUUCCCCUUCUCUUGGGUACACUAGAAGCUGGAGUUUCUCUGCUCACUAGAUUUUCUUCCAAAGAUUUAAAGAGCUGGACAUUUAAAUGCUUCAGCAGAGUGAUGGAGCUCCAUUUGACAGUUGUUAUUACAGAUCCUCUUGGCAGGAUUGACAGGACUUCUAACUGCUACUUCUGAUACUUCUGACAGUUACCUCUGUUCAGCUGACGACAGCAUUUCCUUCCUUCCUUCCAGCCCCAGAAUCCUUGACCUGUCGUGAACCACAGUUUGGAUGAGGGAAUAUCUUGAAAGGCAUCCAACAGGAAGGAAAACAAACCUUUCAAAAUACCAUGGAGCAGUGGGAGAAUCCUGCGAUGACAGUUCCCAAAACUGGGGAGCUACUGAGUCACAUAUAAAUCAGGCCAGUUAGACAGCAGUUCUCUGCUCUUUUGGGACUAUGGCAAAUUUACCUUUACUCUUAGCACAAGCAGAAAUGAUUUCUUCCAGAACAGGACACCUCCAGAGAUCAAGAGUGAGCUUACAGAGACACUGGAAUAAGUCUCUUCAUGUUUCCAAGAUGCCAGUGAAUUUGUCUGUCCUUCCUAUUUUGUUGCAAUAUCCAUGAA